GAUGAGGUGGCUGAGUGGUUAAGGCAAUGGACUGCUAAUCCAUUGUGUUCUGCAUGUGUGGGUCCAAAUCCCACCCUUGUUG